CAACGCACCUCUCUAAUGUGCGACGCAUAUUAAGACUACCAUUUUAUUUCAGGAGGCCCACUACUUCAAAAACCCUAGCUCACACGCCUCUCCCUCCCCUCAAUGCUCAGCGCCCCUCUCUCUCUCUCUUCAAACGCCCCUCUAUCUCUCUCUCUUCAAACGCCCCUCAAUUCUCAACGUCUUUUAGGAAUUCUCAGCGCCUCCCUCUCUCUCUUCGUUGUUUCGUCGAACACCUCCUCCCUCUCUCUCUCUUCGUUGUAGCAGUCGUUUUGUAGAAAAACCGCGUCGAACACGCUCAUUUCCGUCGAACCGCGUCGAACACCGCGCCUAUGUGCGUCGUUUUGUUGUUCCAUCUUUUAGGUUCAUCGUCUUUUAGGAAUUUUCGUCGAACACCGCCUGCAAACACCAACAUCAGAUUCGAAGAAGAGCAGCGAUAAAAAUUGAAAAACCACCAACCCUUUCUCAGAUCUAACGUUCUCAGAUCUGGUUUUUAGCGAUUUGAAGAAAGAGAUUUGAAGAACGAGAUUGAAGAAAGAGAUUUGAAGAACGAGAUUAAAAAACGAGAUUUGGUUUUUGGCGAAUUUGUUCGUUCCAUUUCGCGAUUUGUAAUUUUUUUAAAAUAUAUUUAGUGAAAUUUCUGUUUGUUAGAUCUGGUUUUUUUUAUGUUUAGUUUUUUAAUUUCGUUUUUUUUUUUGUAUGUUAGAUCUGAAUUUUUUAUUUUUGUUAUUUGUUAG